GCUGGGUAUGGUGGCGUACACCUGUAAUCCCAGUGGCUUGCAAGGCUGAGGCAGGAGGAUCGCAAGUUCAAAGCUAGCCUCAGCAAUUUAGCAAGGCCCUAAGCAACUUAGCAAGAUCCUGUCUCAA
rnacentral:sRNA from 1 species